CCAAACCGAGGAAGGUGAAGGCCAGGGAAGCAGAAAUCGCACACACCUUUGAGGAGGGACUCGGUGGCUCAGGACAGGGAGCCUUGGCCUCAUUCAAAAGAACUGCCUUUGGAGACAUUUAGAAGAACAAUACCCAAGAAAUCUUUGUGUAAAGAGCAGACCAGGCAGCUGAAGAGACGCCACAGGAUUUCAGAGGAUCACCACAUCUUUGCAAGUCCUUCAGCUGAACAAGCCCACCUUUUGAACAGUUGAAUCCAGGCUUGAUACAUCAACCAAACUUCAGAGGAGUUGUUCUUGCCUCACACCAAUGUUGAGACGAAAGAGAAGCAAGUUAUUCAUGUUUUAAUGUUGUUUUGUGCCAGAUGUUUUGCUGGUAGAAAUCCAUAGCUCCACAGGCACCCAUUUCUUCAGGAUCUGGAAUGUCUGACACAAUUUCUGUCUCCAUUCUGGACGGUCUGUGAAGGAAGCUGCUUUAUUUUGCAAUAUUGAAUAUUCAUGCUGGGAAGUUAUAAGGAAAAACAAAAUAAUGAGAGACAGGGUCUCUAAUAAGCUUCCUGUCACAUGAGGCUCUGGUUCUGGUGAAGCAGAUGUGGUUGCUGACUUGUUUCCAAAAUGUUUGUGGAGUGGUGAUUAGAUUCUGUCAUACUGAUGUUAUAUCUCUGUGAUCUCAUUCAAUACAAGUAGUUCUGCAAACAGUGAAAUAUUUUUUUCCUACGGAUUUAUAUCUUGGAUUGUGUUUCUGCAUAAAUUCUCUGAUGUUUAAUGGGGAUUGAGUUCAUUUUAGCCUGUUUCUUCAAUGAGAGAUGAGUAAUCUGUCUUGACUUGGCUGCCUACUUUCACAAAACUUGCAGGAAUUAAAUAUCACAAGUAUUUAAAAUUCGAGUGGGAAUUAUGAACCAGUUCCAGAGUUAUUUGGAGCCAACUCAUAUAAACAAACAUAAACAUGAGUCUCAUUUUCUUUACAAAAGCAACAGGUAAGAAGCAAUCUUUUAUUACUUCGUCCUUCUAUUUUACCUGCUUGAUUCUAUUUUUUUAUUAGUGAUCAAUCAUAUAAGAUAUGCUUUAUUUAUAAAGCUGUGUGAAAUAUGAGACUUGUUUGCCACACUGAAUAGAUAUAAAACCAUCAUUAAUUUAUACUUAUUAUGGGCCACACAAGAGAUGACAUUGCUUUUUAUUGUCCUUGCCGGAGCAGGGGAAAGAGGUGACAUGGAUUUUAACUUACAUGUUUGCACAGGCAAGUGCAGAGAAAGAACAUUAU
rnacentral:lncRNA from 1 species